GACGAAGGUGGCUAGCGUUGUUCGGUGUCACUGGGCUUAAAGAGUAUGUAGGCGGAAAAGUAAGCGUUUUGUGAAAUCCCUCGGCUUAACCGAGGAAUUGCUUGGCGAACUGCUUUUCUGAGGCAAGUAGGGGUGCAUGGAACUCUUGGUGGAGCGGUGGAAUGCGUAGAUAUCAAGAGGAACGACAAUGGAGAAAUCAGUGCACUGGGCUUGUCCUGACGCUGGGAUACGAAAGCGUGGGUAGCGAACGGGAUUAGAUACCCCGGUAGUCCACGCCGUAAACGAUGUCUACUAGGUUGCGGGUGUUCUGACACAGUCGCGGCCGAAGCAAAAGUGUUAAGUAGACCGCCUGGGGAGUACGGUCGCAAGGCUAAA
rnacentral:rRNA from 1 species